rnacentral:misc_RNA from 1 species
GGUAAAUCCAAUUGCAAUCAGUUUGACUCUGGAUCCCAUGGCCUUAGGUUCAACUUCGUUCUGAAUUCAGAAAGCUAUGAAGACCCAAAAUCCAAGAAUAAAACAAAAUUUUCUCUUUUGGAAUCUCCAACAUUCACAAUCCAUAAAUUGCCUCCACAUGAUAUUCUUUGAAUUCAUAGCAUCUAUCAACCAGCUAAAACAGUUUAUGUACUAUGAAUCGUACAAAUAUUUAGAUACAGGACAAGCGUAAGUAAAAUCAUACAUUUGGAAGGAAAAAAAAAUGGAGGCAUCAGAGAAGUCUUGCACAAGAUCAUUGUAUUGUGAAAUAAACACCGAGGGAUUUAAUUAAUUAGACCAAAGCCAAGCUUACUGAUACACUGAAGGUCAUACACUAAAGUACAAACACCAUAAAGACCCCAGAUAGAAAGAAUAGGAAUUGCAGACAAAUUCUACAAGAGUUCCCUUGCUAGCCUUACUGGUUUUUCCUUUAAAAAUGCAACAUCACCAUUGGGUAUAGUCAACAGAUGAUGAUCUGCAUCCUCUCCUUCACUCUCGGCUGAAACAGAUGAUGCAAUAGAUUCUAACCCAUCCUCAUCAGAGUAUGCUGGAUGAUCAGGAAGAUGUCUAACUGCUGUUAUCUGAAUGCUUUCUGGCAGUAGACAAUUACAGAAAGAACCUACUCGUGCUAGACGAUUUACCCAUCCAGGAAUAGGCUUUCCUGUUAGCUGCAAACAGACUUCAUCAGUAAAGUGGUUGCAAUUCUUAGCAAUUAAAUGGUAAGUGUCCCCAUGAUAUUUUGCAGAAAGAUGUUCCAUGAAUGAUCGAACUUCUGAACAAGACAGGUUCGUGCUGCCCAGUAACAGGGAGCGUCGGAAGAUGAAGCCUGGACAACUUCUUGGUUCCACCUCAAAUACCCCACUGGUAGGGUACUCAUGGGCUCCAAAACCAAACUCCAUUCCAUGCACUUCGAUGCCGGAAUGGAAGAUCCCAAGGCCAAACCAGUAAAGGUAGUUAUUUACAGGUGUCAGAUCAUAGACAUUUAGAUACAAUAUCGCGCGAUUGCUCCCUCCAUUACCCUGCUCCUUGUCUGAGCUUGAACUCGAACUGGUGCUCGAGCUCAAGGGAAACAACCGCAUUGUUCCCCAAUCAACAGUCCUUCAAUUCCCGCUCCAAUUCUGUAUCAGAAGCCCACCAUUCUUGCUAUUACAUUCGUGCAUUUUCCCGGGAACCAAACUGAGGAAUACAGCAGAAUUGACCUUACCAAUAAAGUGAGAGUAAGAGAAUCCCCAAAUGAUGGAAGCUAGAAACCCUAUGACUGACAGAACCCCAAAGAACAAGAGAUAGAGAGACGAAGGAAGAAAAAUUAAAAAUGGGAACUUCACAGAUACGCAGAUAGGGAGAGAGAGAGAACUUACAAGGGAUUUCUUGUUUUUUGGUAAUUUAAUAUGAAACAGAAGUUUCAGAUCGGUGAGCCAAGAGGGCCUUGAAGCACUUUUUGCUGUGUAGUUAGAAAGGGGAAGAAGGCUGACAGGAAACUUGAGGCCUUU